rfam:Burkholderia udeis isolate LMG 27134 genome assembly, contig: contig000091
GGCGUAUUUCGCGCAGGCGGAGCUCGACCGCCGACCGAAGUGAUGGUGACAUUUAUUAAUGAUCACCGGGCGAUCUACGGGGUCGAGCCGAUCUGCCGGGUGCUACCGAUCGCCCCG